rnacentral:rRNA from 1 species
GAUGAACGCUAGCGGCAGGCCUAAUACAUGCAAGUCGAACGGUGUCUUCGGACAUAGGGGCGCACGGGUGCGUAACACGUAUGCAAACUACCUUACAUUGGGGGAUAGCCAUUCGAAAGGGAGAUUAAUACCGCAUAAGACAGUAACUGGGCAUCCAGCAGUUGUUAAAGAUAUAUCGAUGUAAGCUGGGCAUGCGUCCAAUUAGCUAGUUGGUGAGGUAACGGCUCACCAAGGCAAGGAUUGGGAUGGGAACUGAGAGGUCAAUCCCCCACACUGGCACGGAGAUACGGGCCAGACUCCUACGGGAGGCAGCAGUAGGGAAUAUUGGGCAAUGGACGCAAGUCUGACCCAGCCAUGCCGCGUGCAGGAUGAAGGCGUUAUGCGUUGUAAACUGCUUUUAUACAGGAAGAAACGACUCUUGCGAGAGGCAUUGACGGUACUGUAUGAAUAAGCACCGGCUAACUCCGUGCCAGCCGCCGCAGUAAGAC